rnacentral:rRNA from 1 species
CAAAAACAUGUCCUUUUGUAAAUAAUUUAAGGUCUAGCCUGCCCACUGAUAUUUUAAAUGGCCGUGGUAUUUUGACCGUGCUAAGGUAGCAUAAUCAUUAGUUUUUUAAUUAAAAACUGGAAUGAAAGGUUGGAUGAGAAAAUAGCUGUCUCUAUUAAAUUUAAUUAGAAUUUUAUUUUUAAGUUAAAAAGCUUAAUUGUUAUUAAAAGACGAGAAGACCCUAUAGAGUUUAAUUAUUUAAUAAAAAUUAUAUUUUAGUAUUAAUUUAUUUAUUUUAUUGAAUAAUUUAAUUGGGGUGAUUGAAAAAUUUAAUUAACUUUUUUUAUUUAAAAACAUUAAUUUAUGAAUAAAUGAUCCGAUAUUUUUGAUUAUAAGAUAAAAUUACCUUAGGGAUAACAGCGUAAUUUUUUUAGAAAGUUCAUAUUAAAAAAAAAGAUUGCGACCUCGAUGUUGGAUUAAAAUAAAUUUUUGGUGUAGAAGCUAAAAUAUUAGGUCUGUUCGACCUUUAAAAUUUUACAUGAUCUGAG